AAAUUUUUCGCAUUUUAAAAGUCACUCAGUGAUGAUUUAUCAUUUAAUUUUUCAAACUAAUUUAAACUCAUUCAAACUGAUUCAAGCCUUUCUAAUCCUUAAAAACUUUCUGAUACUUGAGGAUUUUUAAUUAUUUAAAUUUUCCAUGUUUUAAAUUAGUUUUAAUAUUUAUGCAUUACUCCAUCCUUCAAACAAAAUCCUACCUCAAGUACUACAACUACUGCCAAUGUCAAUUAAACUAGAACUUUCCCCUCUACUUCAACUGCUAUUGCUCCUAUUUCUACUUUCUUUACUACUUUGACUUAUACUUCUUUUAUUCACAAACUACUUCUACUGCUGACAUGACUACUAGUAUCACGACUUGACUUCUUAUCAUACUACUUCUAGUACUACAACUUAAACUUAUGCCACUUAUCACCUUCCUGCCUUUUAAGGCAAUUUCCUUUUUCAUUCAAACUUUGUGCAAUUUUAGACAUUUUUCUAGCCUCUUUCAGCAUGAAUAAGAUUUCCUCUUAUAGAGCAUAUUCAUACUAUUUGUCCUUUAACCAAUUAAACCAUUAUCCAACUUAUAUUUCUUUUUCACUCCUUCAACAGCUUUAACAUUUAUACCUUCUCCAUCUUUUAUUAGCAGUUUAGCAUUGCUUUUUCAGCUUUCAGCACUCAGCAUUUCCACGCAUUUUCUGCAAGGAAAUGCAAUUUUUC